CGCGUAGGCUGUUGAGUAAGUCAAAUGUGAAAUCCCUGGGCUUAACCUGGGAACUGCAUUCGAUACUGCUUAACUAGAGUAUGGUAGAGGGAAGUGGAAUUCCGGGUGUAGCGGUGAAAUGCGUAGAUAUCCGGAGGAACACCAGUGGCGAAGGCGACUUCCUGGGCCAAUACUGACGCUGAGGUGCGAAAGCGUGAGGAGCAAACA
rnacentral:rRNA from 1 species